UCCCAGGCAGCUGGCAGCAAACAUGAGAGGAGAACAGCAGAGAGGUGGGGCCAACCAUGGGAGAAGCACACUUCAGAACCCAAAAAGGGCAAAAUGGUCGGACAAGAACAGAGGUGCUCCUAAGAAUGAAAGAAGCCACGCAGAGCCUGGAGUGUGAUGUUCGAGAGAGUAGAGAGAUCAGCCAAAGCUGCACCUUGCAGAACGUGACCCACCUCUUCAUGAGAGAGGACGCUGCUGCUCCGGAACCGCACAAACUGGCCCAGGGAGAGAAGCCCCAGACAUGCAGUCAUUUGGCAUCUCCUUCAUUCAUAGUCAUUUCCUGUGCUCCUGCUGUGCCCAGCACUGGACCAGGGACACAUCUGAAGUCCCCCAAACCCUACCUUCAAGGAGCUCAAGAGCUGGUGGGCAGGGGUGGGGUUGUGUCAUGAGAGUGCGGUAAAUGAGGCAGACCUGAAAGAGGUGGCCCUGCUGACUCCCUCAGUCCCUGCCCCCACCACCCACCCCUCAGCCUUGCUCUCACACUCAUGGCCAAAAUGGACUAUGGUUACACAAACACACCACUAUGUGCUCGCAUACCUGCUUCUCACUUCACUACCUGGAAUACUUUUCCUCUUCUGCCUAUUAAUCCCACAAGCCUCAGCUAAAAUGUUACCUUCACUGCUAAAUUUUCUUUCAUUUUAUUAAAGAAAUACAGGCAUUAA